GCCGAAGUGGCGGAAUUGGUAGACGCGUUGGUCUCAAACACCAAUGAGCAUUAGUUCGUGCCGGUUCGAUUCCGGCCUUCGGUACCA
rnacentral:tRNA from 1 species